CCCUCGCGCGCCCGCCUGCCUCCCGACCGGCCACCCGCCGGGGUCAGCAGGGCCAGCCUCGGGGGGCCCUGGGGUGGCCGCCUCCUGGGCCCCCCAGGAGAAGAGGCUGCCCCUGUGGCUACAUACCGGGUCGCAGGGGCGGCCGGGCCCCCUGGUGGGCCGGGCCCGGUCGCAGCCGCGACCCCUGCGACCCUGGUAUGUACGCCACUGGGCUUGUUGAUAGGCCUUUAGAUGGAUCAUGUCAGCACCAUUUACAUUCCAAAGGUCAGUAAUAAUUGCUGACAAUCAGCCCAGGUGGGAUUGUGUGUUUGUAUAAUAGAGGUGACCAAGUCAAUCAUGGCUUGAGGUUUAUCGGUGUACGAGGAGUUAUGGGUCUUCCAAUUGAACAGGUCAGUUGUGGUGAAUGGGACUGUAACGGAUCACCUGGCACCCCGACUGGGUACCUCCGUUGAAGGAUGCUCCUAGCGCUUUCUGAGGACUCCAAGUACUGCAGCAGACACCACAACCACCGAACCGGAGAAGCAUACGAAUGCUCUCAAGUAAGCAGCUGAACAGGAAAAGCAUACAAUCAGCUUACACUCCUGGCAAUCAGCAUACAAUCCAAUUCCCCCAAUAAGGAGACGACAC